rnacentral:rRNA from 1 species
AACGAACGCUGGCGGCAGGCUUAACACAUGCAAGUCGAACGCAUCGCAAGAUGAGUGGCAGACGGGUGAGUAACGCGUGGGAACAUACCCUUUUCUACGGAAUAGCUCUGGGAAACUGGAAUUAAUACCGUAUACGCCCUACGGGGGAAAGAUUUAUCGGGGAAGGAUUGGCCCGCGUUGGAUUAGCUAGUUGGUGGGGUAAAGGCCUACCAAGGCGACGAUCCAUAGCUGGUCUGAGAGGAUGAUCAGCCACAUUGGGACUGAGACAAGGCCCCAACUCCUACGGGAGGCAGGAGUGUGGAAUAUUGGACAAUGGGCGCAAGCCUGGUCCAGCCAUGCCGCGUGAGUGAUGAAGGCCUUAGGGUUGUAAAGCUCUUUCACCGAUGAAGAUAAUGACGGUAGUCAGAGAAGAAGCCCCGGCUAACUUCGUGCCAGCCGCCGCAGUAAUAC